rnacentral:rRNA from 1 species
UACGUAGGGGCCGAGCGUUGUCCGGAGUUACUGGGCGUAAAGCGCGCGCAGGCGGCUCGUCAAGCCUGACGUGAAAGCCCCCGGCUCAACCGGGGGAGGGUCGUCGGGGACUGGCGGGCUUGAGGUCGGCAGGGGCUGGUGGAAUUCCCCGGUGUAGUGGUGAAAUGCGUAGAGAUCGGGAGGAACACCCGUGGCGAAGGCGGCCAGGCUGGGCCGGGACCUGACGCUGAGGCGCGAAGGCGUGGGGAGCAAACAGG